AGCUAUAUAGGGCAGUUUCUAGCAGGCAGCAACCCUCAUUCUCUUGGGUAGCUCCUCAGGAGAGGACUAAGGUGCUUAGGCAUAAUUUGAUGUUCCUUUAUGCUGAAAUGACAGCUCCUGGUGAUGCGUGACAGUACAGCCAAGAAAUCUGUACAUAGGAUGUGUCUUCUCCUGCUGGAUAGUUCUCCAGGAAGGGAUUUAGCAGGCAUAAACAAGACUGCAACUAACUGGUUGAAAAUUUAAUCUGUUUUUCCUCCUGUGGGGAUCACCUAAGAUAUCUUGAAGUAACCUUUUUUCAAUGGACAUUUUUCUGGGAAGGCCUUUUGCGUGAAGAAAAGAAAAAAAGACCCCUUGCUGUCCCAGAAUGGUUGAUAGCCUGGUGUUUUUGGUGUGCCUCUGGAAUGUCCGAGUCCUGUUAGUUUUGGAGAAAGGCCUGGAAACCUGGGUUUUCAAUAUUCUGUGAAAGUCUUAACUAUCAGACUACUAUCUAUCUGCAAAAAAGAAAAACAACUGCUGCCUAAGACUUUUCCUCCUCUUUCAUUUGCCAUGAACUCCUUCCCCAAAGGCAAAUAAAAAUAAUGUGGACAUACCUCUCUUUAUAACACACAAUAAAAGCUUGCUGAAACUUC